rnacentral:lncRNA from 1 species
UGUUUUGACAUCGGGAUUAUUUUUGCAGCUGUCAAUUGCAAUGCCCUGAGCUAUUUUAUUUUUCAUGAGCGCUUUUUCAAUGAGACAUUUCUUAUCUGGAAUCAAGUCACAAAAUUCCACAGAAAGCUUUGUUGACCAAGAGAAUUACGUGUGGUUUUUCAUGGUUAUCUUUUUGAGGUGUAUGGAUGAAUCCAAGACUGUAGUAAGAAUCAGUUUAUAACAAAUGAAUGGGUAGCACUGCUGUUACAGUUAAUAUGUAUCAAGUCAGGUAAAAAACUCUGUAGUUCUACCUCUCUGUUGGCCAAUUCAUGAGGUGAAGGGUAUGGAUCAAAGUGUCAGCAGUCUGAGAGUGAAAGAACGUGAAUUCAAAUGAAAAAGCUUUUUAAAAAAUUCCCUGUUAUUACCCUGAAGAGAGAAUUCAUUACUUCUGCUGAUCAUAAGGAAUAAGGACAGAUCAUUAUUUUACCUACCUUACCUUAGUCAGGAGCUUUUUACAUUCUUUUUUUUAUUAAACAUUCCUUAGUCUAUAUAGACUGUGCCCAGAACCUGGAAGCUGAUGGUAGACGACAUAGUUCACAGAAAAACACCUCUUAGGAAGAGCUCAGCCAUGGAGCACCACACCCUGUGUUACUCAGUCAUAGGAUACAUUAAUAUGCAUCAACAUCUGUUUUUAUAACCUUUUUGAAUCAUCCUUUCCCAUACAGGGUUCAGGUUCCAUAAUUCAUUUUUGUGAUCAUAUUUUAGCAGCACUUUACAUCACUUUCCCUAAUGGUUUUUGUAGCGCCUCCUCGCCAGAUGUCAUCUGGGAGCGUUCCUGGCUCUUCUAGAGACAGCAUGAUGAUCUAUCUCCUUGCUGGUGUUGCUGCUUUUGGUGGUUUAUUUUAUGCCUACAGAGUAGUCAGUUCACCCCGCAGCAAGUUUGUUGAAGAUACAAAUAUUCUUCGUGAGAGAGCCGAUGAGCAGAAAAGCAAUCCUUGGUCAAGAAAGGAAGGUGAUGCAGAAGAGGUGGAUGAGGUCACUGGAGCAGAGAAGGCCACGGAAGAGGCUGAGGCAGCAGCUGCUGUGGAACCUGCAGCACAGGAGGAGAGUGCUGGACCCACAGCACAGGAUGAGAGUUCUGGGGUGCCCCCAGAAGCUGGAGGGGAGAAUGACUUGCUGGCUCCAGAGGAAUCCCAUGCUGUGGAGGAGGCACAGCAGGAAGCUGCUGCUAAUUCAGAAGCUGAUGCUAAUUUGGAACUUGCUGAUAAUUCAGAAGCUGCUGCAGUUCAAGCUUCUGAGGAGGAGAAGACAACUGAAGAGGUUGCUAAAGAGCCCUAAAGUAAGCAGUGUGGACACCUUUGGAAAGUAUAAUGCAAAUAUUUGUGGCAAUCAACCAGCUGAUUCCUGUGUGAAACCUCAUCAUACUCUUCCUUGGAGACAUCGAAGAAACUGUGCAGUUUGUCCUACCACACACUGGCCAUUCUGGCCAGUACUAUCCAGUGCUGCAAGAGAUGAAUUGUGCUGCCUAGAGAAACGCUUCUGUGACUAA